rnacentral:rRNA from 1 species
AACGAACGCUGGCGGCAUGCCUAACACAUGCAAGUCGAGCGAAGCCUUCGGGCUUAGUGGCGCACGGGUGCGUAACGCGUGGGAAUCUACCCUUUGGUUCGGAAUAACAGUUGGAAACGACUGCUAAUGCCGGAUGAUGACGAAAGUCCAAAGAUUUAUCGCCAGAGGAUGAGCCCGUGUAGGAUUAGCUAGUUGGUGUGGUAAAGGCGCACCAAGGCGACGAUCCUUAGCUGGUCUGAGAGGAUGAUCAGCCACACUGGGACUGAGACACGGCCCAGACUCCUACGGGAGGCAGCAGUGGGGAAUAUUGGACAAUGGGCGAAAGCCUGAUCCAGCAAUGCCGCGUGAGUGAUGAGGGCCCUAGGGUUGUAAAGCUCUUUUACCCGGGAUGAUAAUGACAGUACCGGGAGAAUAAGCCCCGGCUAACUCCGUGCCAGCCGCCGCAGUAA